AUCCUUAUGCACGGGAAAUACGCAUAUCAGUGAGGAUUCGUCCGAGAUUGUGUUUUUGCUGGUUGAAAUUUAAUUAUUAAACCAGACCUACUUCUCAUAGUCGAUUGUUAGCUAUUCGCUUUUGAAUGGCUCCUGAUUAUGUAGGGAAUUUUUGGAAUAUCUUCAAAG
rnacentral:snRNA from 1 species